ensembl:lncRNA
UGCUGGAAUCUGCCUCCCAGCCUUUGUGAACAGGAUGACCAAAGACAAGAGGGAGAUUUUGCAGAUGGCCAGAGCUAUAAAUAGCACAGAUUUGUUUCUCUCACACACACAGACGCGCUGGUGUCACCAGCAGCAGCUGGUGGAGGGAGUUGAGCAGAGCCCUUCUAAAGCCCUGCUGCAGAGGCCAUGUGGACACUUUAAAGCUCUUCUCUGCAGCCUGUGAAGUUGUAAAGGAGCUCUGCAACACUGGCGACUGGCGCUGUGAAUUUCAUGCCAGCUGUAGCGCACAGCCCCCCUCCUUCUGUUUCUGUCUCUUUCUGUCUCUUUUCUUUCAUUCUAUCCAUCACUGCGCUCUCUCUGUGGCAGUAGACAUCCCUUUGCACUUCUGUCAUGGCCAGCCGGACUCAGGAUUUGCACGGCUCUGUGCUUAUGCGUAAUAGUGAAGCCCAUCUGGCUACAGGAGGGAUUUUUACCUGUGCUCAGUAUUGAGAGCUGUUCUUGCAUAUCAGACACAGUGGCCCCUUUACACCUGGAAUUAACAUGUGAUUUGCAUCUGGAUAGAACUUAAGCCUAAAUAAAAAAAAAAAUAAAAAAAAAAUAAAAAUAAAAACUGUAAUUGUGACUUUUGUCACACUUUAGCUUGGGGAUCAGUUCUCACUAUUAAUUAACUUUUAACUAUGAGUUUUGCCUCAUUAAACUCCUGAUUUGCUGCUUAUUAAUAGUUAGUAAGAUAGAUGAGAUGUUUAGGUAUGGGGUAGGAUUAAAGGAUCUAGAAUAUGGUCAUGCAGAAUAUGUACUUAAUAAGUAAUAAUAAACAACCAAUAUGCAUGCUAUUAAGCAACUAGUCAAUACUGAGAACUAGUCACUGAACUCGUGUGUUCCUGUGACUUUUCAUCUCACAAUUCAGUUUCAGCCUUCAAAUUUUGUCAUUUUUUUUUAAGAAAUCCAAUUAAAUAAUAUUUUGUGGCUCUUUUAUGACAUUAAAGAUCGCUGUAGUGCUUUCCUCUUUGCUAGCUGUAGUGCAAAAUAAACAUGAAUGAACAUCAGAAGGUAUUUUAUUUCAAACGUUGAAAGAAGUCAAUGCACAUCAUUUUUUAAAUUCAAGACCACCGACGUCUGUCUGACAAAAUUGUUUGUCUGACAAAAUAAACAGAUUCAGCAUUAUAAUUGGUCAAAUCACCUGUCAAUCAAACUCCCUGUGAAGGGUCAAUUGCCAGUUACAAAGUCAGAAUAUUAGGAUAAAAACC